UACAGAGGUCCCCAAGCGUUGUUCGGAUUCACUGGGCGUAAAGGGUGCGUAGGUGGUUGGGUAAGUCUGAUGUGAAAUCUCCGAGCUCAACUCGGAAACUGCAUCGGAUACUAUUCAACUCGAGGGUUGGAGGGGGGACUGGAAUGCUUGGUGUAGCAGUGAAAUGCGUAGAUAUCAAGCGGAACACCAGUGGCGAAGGCGAGUCCCUGGACAACUCCUGACACUGAGGCACGAAAGCUAGGGGAGCAAAC
rnacentral:rRNA from 1 species